rnacentral:misc_RNA from 1 species
GGAAGUAAAAGUCUAACAAGGUUUCCGUAGGUGAACCUGCGGAAGGAUCAUUAUUGUAUACCCGAGGUGCGAGGGCUGUCGCUGACCCGAAAGGUCGUGCACGCCCGAGUGCCCUCACACACAUCCAUCUCACCCCUAUGUGCACCACCGCGUGGGUCCCCCUUUGGCUUGUUCGGAGGGGGGCUUACGUUUUCACACAAACUUUGUAUGCAGUGUAGAAUGUAUUUUUUGUUUUUGCGAUCACGCAAUCAAUACAACUUUCAACAACGGAUCUCUUGGCUCUC